rnacentral:lncRNA from 10 species
AUGGGCUCCUGUCCAGGGUUGGUUGCUGCAUUGAGCACUGAGCUGCCAGGAUAAGCUCCAGCUUCCUGCACCUCUGAACUGGAAUAAGUUGUCCACUUAUUCCAGUUCAGUGUUGAAGAUGGCUGGAGCCCAUCCCAGUAGCUCAGGGCAGAAGGCAGGAACCAACCCUGGAUCUCAUUCGGAAAAGAGCCUCUAGAAGGUUAAAUAAAGCCAUUCUAUUUUCUCAAAAUAUCGCUAAACUAACAAUGAAGAAAACUUUAUAAAAUUUUAAAAGGUCAAGGAAAAC